rnacentral:rRNA from 1 species
AUAUACGACCGUACCGCAAACCGACACUGGUGCGCGAGAUGAGUAUUCUAAGGCGCUUGAGAGAACUCAGGAGAAGGAACUCGGCAAAUUGACACCGUAACUUCGGAAGAAGGUGUGCCCUAUUAGUGUGUAGUGAACAACGAAGCAUGAAUGGGUUGCAAAAAAUCGGUGGCUGCGACUGUUUAUUAAAAACACAGCACUCUGCAAACACGAAAGUGGACGUAUAGGGUGUGACGCCUGCCCGGUGCUGGAAGAUUAAAUGAUGGGGUGCAAGCUCUUGAUUGAAGUCCCAGUAAACGGCGGCCGUAACGAUAACGGUCCUAAGGUAGCGAAAUUCCUUGUCGGGUAAGUUCCGACCUGCACGAAUGGCGUAACGAUGGCCACACUGUCUCCUCCUGAGACUCAGCGAAGUUGAAAUGUUUGUGAUGAUGCAAUCUCCCCGCGGAAAGACGGAAAGACCCCAUGAACCUUUACUGUAGCUUUGUAUUGGACUUUGAACAGAUCUGUGUAGGAUAGGUGGGAGGCUUUGAAGCAGGGUCGCUAGAUCUUGUGGAGCCAACGUUGAAAUACCACCCUGGUGUGUUUGAGGUUCUAACCUAGGUCCAUUAUCUGGAUCGGGGACAGUGCAUGGUAGGCAGUUUGACUGGGGCGGUCUCCUCCCAAAGCGUAACGGAGGAGUCCGAAGGUACGCUAGUUACGGUCGGACAUCGUGACGAUAGUGCAAUGGCAUAAGCGUGCUUAACUGCGAGACUGACAAGUCGAGCAGAUGCGAAAGCAGGACAUAGUGAUCCGGUGGUUCUGUAUGGAAGGGCCAUCGCUCAACGGAUAAAAGGUACUCUGGGGAUAACAGGCUGAUACCGCCCAAGAGUUCAUAUCGACGGCGGUGUUUGGCACCUCGAUGUCGGCUCAUCUCAUCCUGGGGCUGUAGCCGGUCCCAAGGGUAUGGCUGUUCGCCAUUUAAAGAGGUACGUGAGCUGGGUUUAAAACGUCGUGAGACAGUUUGGUCCCUAUCUUCCGUGGGCGCUGCAGAUUUGAGGAAGCCUGCUCCUAGUACGAGAGGACCGGAGUGGACACACCUCUGGUGUAUCGGUUGUCACGCCAGUGGCAUUGCCGAGUAGCUAAGUGUGGAAGAGAUAACCGCUGAAAGCAUCUAAGCGGGAAACUCGUUUCAAGAUGAGAUCUGCCGGGGCCUUGAGCCCCCUAAAGAGUCGUUCAAGACCAGGACGUUGAUAGGUCAGGUGUGGAAGCGAAAAA